CCUACAUGAAGUUUAGGUCAAGGUUUUUUCCUAUAAUUGUCCAAUAUUCUAACACCAUUUGUUGAACAGACUAUCCUUCCUCUCAACUAAUUUUUGAAACUAUUUUCACCAGGGUUGCUAAUGGCCUCCUACUUUCCUGAUCUAAAGGAACAAUGACCUGUAACACAUUUUAGCAAUGGAGUGUUGGUGUAGACUGUGUGCUUUGUAACAACGGUGACACCAGGAGUUCCUUCACCUGGACAAUGAGUGAAUGGAGGGAGAGUGCUGGCCUCAUCCAUCACCCACCGGAGGGGUGCAACACAUUCAGAGUGGUGGGAGCAGCCCUGACUAUACACUGCCUGCUCAUGUAGCACGAACCAGGCAGAGAAGACAACAUAUCUUCACAGCUCUCCCACUGUAUGGCUGCUUGGGGGAAAGAUGCUGCCAAAUGAAUGAAAGAAAGAAGGCUGGAAUGCAUUUCUCAUGCUUGAAUUCAGGCUUUCCCAUCUACUUACAGUCAGGAACAGUCACGUAUAUGCUUUCCCAUGCUCCACCUGAAGUGGCUCCUGUAGCAAGCUGUAGGGCGACCAGAAGACAGCAGCAGGAAUUAAACCGAAGCCAAGAAACUGAGCACAGUUCCUCGGGCAAAUCUUAAUCUUGGCUGAUGCCAUAUCUGGUGGGGGCGAGCUGAAGUCUACUUCCCUGUGGAUAGAGAGAGAAACCUGCUUUUGAAACUCCUUCCAGAAGCAUACCAUCUUUUCAUAAGUGGGAAAUGUCUUGUGUUUUGCCUUCUGUUUCUUGUUUGAUGGCAUGCCUGGCCUUCUUUCCUAUUUUUACCUUGUCUGCAGAUUUUUCCACCACAAAGAGAGUUCCCAGAUAAUUAUCCACUCUUCUGCCUAGUGAACAAAAGGAAGCAUAAUCUGGACUAACUAGAGGUUGAGUAUCCCAGGUUCUUCUCAGGUUAUGGUUGGCUGAGCUACACUUAUUGAACACCUGUUGUAAAUGACCAUCAUGAAGAUGAAGCCAUGUAGGUUCCAGUUGUGGUUUCCCCAUGGAGUGUUCUGGGCAAAUCACUCUGUGAUUCUGUUUUCUGUAUCAUUAAAAGAAGAGAAUAUUACCACCUUCCUAAAAUGGGUAUUGUGAGGAUUAAAUGGAAAGAAAAUAGAUUUUUGUGGAAAUUGUAAAUGUUACCUUAACACUACACCAAUGUUAGUUAUUUUUUCUCAGUAUCUGAAAUUUGGGAGGAAAGAAUAAAAGAGAGAAAUGAAGAACAAGAGGAAGAGAAGGAAGAAGAGAGGGUGUGUGGAUUUUUUACCUUGAGAUGUUUAUACAUGCAUGGCAGAGAAACAAAAACAAAUGACAUGAAAUGAUGCUGUAAGUUGGGAAAUUUUAUACAUUUAGUUGGCUCUGCUGAUUGUUCUAAUUACCAGUUCAUAUGGUUUGGCUGCAUGCCCACCCAAAUCUCAUCCUGAAUUGUAGUUCCCAUAAUUCCCACGUGUCAUGGGAGGGACCCAGUAGGAGGUAAUUGAAUUGUGGAAUUGGUUUCCCUGAUGCUAUUCUCGUGAUAAUGAGUAAGUUCUCACAAUAUCUGGUGGUUUUAUAAGGGGCUUCCCACUUCACUCAGUUCUCAUUCUUUUCUCUCCUUUUGCUAUGUGAAGAAGGACAUGUUUGCUUUUCCUUCUGCCAUGGCUGGAAGUUUCCUGAGGCCUCCCCAGCUAUCCUGAUCAGUGAGUCAAUUAAACUUCUUUCCUUUAGAAAUUACCUAGUCUUGGGUAUGUCUUUAUUAGCAGUGUGAGAAUGAACUAAUACAGUUAAUUGGUAUUGAGAGUGGAGUGCUGCUAUAAGGAUACCUGAAGGUGGAACACAACUUUGGAACUUGGUAACAGGCAGAGGUUGGAACAGUUUGGAGGGCUCAGAAGUAGGUGGGAAAAUUUGGAAUUCGUAGAGACUGAAGGGCUCAGAAGACAGGAAGAUGGUGGGGAAGUCUGGAGCUUCCUAGAGACUUGUUGAAUGGCUUUGAACAAAAUGCUUAUAGUGAUAUGGAAAAUGAAGUCGACUGAGGUGGUCUCGAUGGAGAUGGGAAACUUGUUGGGAACUGAAAUAAAGGUCACUCUUGUCACUCUUGCCGUGCAAAGAGACUGGUGGCAUUUUGCCCCUGCCUUAGAAAUCUGUGGAACUCUGAACAUGAGAGAGGUGAUUUAGGGUAUCUGGCAAGAAACAUUUGUAAGUGGCAAAGCAUUCAAGAGGAAGAAGAGCAUAAACCUUUGAAAAUUUGCAGCCUGACUAUUGUGAUAGAAAAGAAAACCCCAUUUUCUGGGGAGAAAUUCAAGCAGGAUGCAGAUAUUUGCAAAGAUAACAAGGAGCCUAAUGUUAAUCACCAAGACAAUAGGGAAAAUGUCUCCAAGGCAUGUCAGACACCUUCACAGCAGCCUCUCCCAUCAGAGGCCUGGAGGCCUAGGAAGGAAAAGUGGUUUCCUAGGCCAGGUCCAGGGCCUUCCUGCUGUGUGCAGCUUUGGGACUUGGUGUCUUGCAUCUCAGCUACUGUAGCUAUGGUUAACAGGGGCCAAUGUACAUCUCAGGCCAUUGCUUCAUAGGGUACAAGCCCCAGGCCUUCGCAGUUUCCACAUGAUGUUGAGCCUGUGGGCACACAUAAGUCAAGAAUUGAGGUUUGGGAACCUCUGCCUGGAUUUCAGAGGAUGUAUGGAAAUACCUGAUGUCUAGGCAGAAGUUUGCUGCAGGGAUGGAGCCUUCAUGGAGACCCUCUGCUAGGGCAGUGCUGAAGGGAAAUGCAGGGUUGGAGCCCUACACAGAGUCUCUACUGGAGCACUGCCUAGUGGAGCUGUGAGAAGAGGGCCACAGUCCUCCAGACCCCAGAAUGGUAGACCCACUGACAGCUUGCACUGUGCACCUGGAAAAGCUGCAGACACUCUAUGCUAGCUGGGAUGGGACUAUACCCUGCAAAGCCACAGUGGUGGAGCUGCCUGGGGCUGUGGGAGCCCACCUCUUGCAUCACUGUUACCUGUAUGUGAGAUAUGGAGUCAUAGUAGAUCAUAUUGGAAUUUUAAGUUUUAAUGACUGCCUUAUUCGAUUUUGGAUUUGCAUGGGACCUAUAGCCCCUUUGUUUUGUCCAAUUUCUCCCAUUUGGAGUGGGCAUAUUUACCCAAUGCCUGUACCCCCAUUGUAUCUAGGAAGUAACUAACUUGCUUUUGAUUUUACAGGCUCAUAGGCAGAAGGGACUUGCCUUAUCUCAGAUGAGACUUUGGACUUGGACUUUUGAGACCAUACUGGAAUGAGUUAAGACUUCAGGGGACUAUUGGAAGGACAUGAUUAUGUUUUGAAUUGUGAGGACAUGAGAUUUGGGAGGGGCCAGGGGCAGAAUGAUAUGGUUCGGCUGUGUCCCCACCCAAAUCUCAUCUUGAAUUAUAGUUUCCAUAAUCCCCACAUGUCAUGGGAUGGAUCUGGUAGGAGGUAAUUGAAUCAUGGGGGUGAUUUCCUCCAUGCUAUUCUUGUGAUAGUGAGUUCUCAGGAGAUCUGAUGGUUUUUUAAGGGGCUUCCCCAACACUUGGUUUUCAUUCUUCUCUUUCCUGCUGCCAUGUGAAGAAAGAAGUGUUUGCUUUCCCUUCCAUCAUGGUUGGAAGUUUCCCGAGGCCUCUCCAGUCAUACUGAGCUGUGAGUCAAUUAAACUUCUUUCCUUUGUAAAUUACCCAGUCUCAGAUAUGUCUUUGUUAGCUGUGUGAGAAUAGACUAAUAUACCAGUCAAGUGUUUGCCUAAAAAUUAUGGUACUCCCUGGAAGGACAUUUAUUUUGUUAUGAAGAAAAAAAAGAGGCAAGAUAGUUCAGAAAAUAAGAG
rnacentral:lncRNA from 1 species